UACGUAGGGGGCAAGCGUUGUCCGGAAUCAUUGGGCGUAAAGCGCGCGUAGGCGGCCCGGUAAGUCCGCUCUGAAAGUCCAGGGCUCAACCCUGGAAAGCGGGUGGAUACUGCCGGGCUAGAGUCCGGAAGAGGCGAGUGAAGAUUCCUGGUGUAGCGGUGGAAUGCGCAGAUAUCAGGAGGAACACCAAUAGCGAAGGCAGCUCGCUGGGACGGUACUGACGCUAAGGCGCGAAAGCGUGGGGAGCGAACAGG
rnacentral:rRNA from 1 species